CAAGCGGUGAGUGCUUUGGGGUGGGGUGACUGCGUACCUUUUGUAUAAUGGGUCAGCGACUUAUAUUCUGUAGCAAGGUUAACCGUAUAGGGGAGCCGUAGGGAAACCGAGUCUUAACCGGGCGUUAAGUUGCAGGGUAUAGACCCGAAACCCGGUGAUCUAGCCAUGGGCAGGUUGAAGGUUGGGUAACACUAACUGGAGGACCGAACCGACUAAUGUUGAAAAAUUAGCGGAUGACCUGUGGCUGGGGGUGAAAGGCCAAUCAAACCGGGAGAUAGCUGGUUCUCCCCGAAAGCUAUUUAGGUAGCGCCUCGUGAAUUCAUCUCCGGGGGUAGAGCACUGUUUCGGCUAGGGGGCCAUCCCGGCUUACCAACCCGAUGCAAACUGCGAAUACCGGAGAAUGUUAUCACGGGAGACACACGGCGGGUGCUAACGUCCGUCGUGAAGAGGGAAACAACCCAGACCGCCAGCUAAGGUCCCAAAGUCAUGGUUAAGUGGGAAACGAUGUGGGAAGGCCCAGACAGCCAGGAUGUUGGCUUAGAAGCAGCCAUCAUUUAAAGAAAGCGUAAUAGCUCACUGGUCGAGUCGGCCUGCGCGGAAGAUGUAACGGGGCUAAACCAUGCACCGAAGCUGCGGCAGCGAACGUAUCACUUAAAGCGAUUCAGCGGGUUACGAUUGACGGAGCGAAGCGACGUCAAAGCGUAUACAAAGUCGAGUCGGUUUAAGGAUACGUUCGUUGGGUAGGGGAGCGUUCUGUAAGCCUGUGAAGGUGGCCUGUGAGGGUUGCUGGAGGUAUCAGAAGUGCGAAUGCUGACAUAAGUAACGAUAAAGCGGGUGAAAAGCCCGCUCGCCGGAAGACCAAGGGUUCCUGUCCAACGUUAAUCGGGGCAGGGUGAGUCGACCCCUAAGGCGAGGCCGAAAGGCGUAGUCGAUGGGAAACAGGUUAAUAUUCC
rnacentral:rRNA from 1 species